GUCUGAGGAGUUUAGCAAGUAGACAUUGCAAGAGUUUUAAAGGGAGAAGAAAGGGAAGAUUUGGUGUGAAUCUGGGCAAUCCUACCAGGGAGAAAUCCAAGGUCAAAGUAAAACAAUGACUUAUAAUGAGAAACAGGAAGACUACACAGCAUACUGGAGCAGCACUUUAUUGAUAGUCUAAGAAAGAAAACAUUGUGAACUUUACCCAGCUGCCGGGUGACUUGCUGAACAGCAUAGAUUUUGUUUUUUGCCUUUGUUAUCAUUUUCUAAAGAAGAAAGAGCAAGCUGGAUAACCUUUACAAUAAUUCUUGAAGUAUGCCCUAUGGCCUACAGCUUGAGUCUACUUCAUAGGAAAACCUUAGUCCCUUGAAUUUAUGCUUAGAGACAAGGAAUCCCGGGAUCUCACACGUAAUAGCCUACAAAUGCCAAUGGUUAGCAAGUCAGGAUGGGCUGCAGUUGUUUGCAGCUUUGGCCCUUCCAUACAAGUUUUCUGAGGUCAGAGAUUAUGCUUAUUCAUGACUACAUCCCUCAAGGUGGCUUAUAGUGUGUGCGAGUGAGGCAUAUCAGCAAGCACUUGUUGAAUGAACAGCCUAAAACCUCAGUCAUCAUUCAAUCCAUGGAACCAGACUUAUAUUUAGAUCAGCCAGACAUAGAACUGUCUCUGAUUCAGCUGAGCAAAGACAUCAACCACGGAGCAAGAAAAGAGAGCAUGAUCAGAUGUCUGCUGGAACUGUGGGGAGAGGAGGUGAAACCAUCCCAAACAGUACAUUAGAGGCGGA
rnacentral:lncRNA from 1 species